rnacentral:misc_RNA from 1 species
GGCUUGUCUGAAAUGUAUUAGCUGGAUCCUCUUUGUAAUUGGUUCUACUCGACGUGAUAAGUAUUUCGUCGAGGACAGUCUUAACGGACUGGCCGAGAGAAGAAGAGUCUUUAGAUCCGCUUCUAAUCCGUGCGAGCAUUCGUGCUCCACACUUUUUAUGAUCUGGCCUCAAAUCAGGUGGGACUACCCGCUGAACUUAA